rnacentral:misc_RNA from 1 species
GAUGAAGAACGUAGCGAAAUGCGAUAAGUAGUGUGAAUUGCAGAAUUCAGUGAAUCAUCGAAUCUUUGAACGCACAUUGCGCCCCUUGGUAUUCCAUGGGGCAUGCCUGUUCGAGCGUCAUUUGUACCUUCAAGCUUUGCUUGGUGUUGGGUGUUUGUCUCGCCUUUGCGUGUAGACUCGCCUUAAAAUAAUUGGCAGCCGGCGUAUUGAUUUCGGAGCGCAGUACAUCUCGCGCUUUGCACUCAUAAAGACAGCGUCCAAAAGUACAUUUUACACUCUUGACCUCGGAUCAGGUAGGGAUACCCGCUGAACUUAAGCAUAUCAAUAAGCGGAGGA